rnacentral:lncRNA from 1 species
AGUGAGACUUGCAAAAGCAUCAGGUUGUUGACUACUAAGGAGCAUGAGAUUUCACCUAACCAGAGUUAUCUUCUGUACUUCUGUGAUGCAGAAUUAUGGGGUUUCUCUGAAUUUUGGACCCUACAACAGUCUUGCAGCUUGUAGCCAGCUCCCUCUGUCUUGCUGGAGGCACAGAUCAGCAAGAUUGGAGGGGAAGGAGGAUGAAGGAUUACUGGCCCACCUCGCCUGGGAUGGGAUGGUGGCCACAGGCUCUGGUGUCCACAGAGCUCCCUGUGCUAUGCCCUGCUUGUCAAGCCUCCCUCAGCAUCUGUAA